rnacentral:rRNA from 1 species
ACUCCUACGGGAGGCAGCAGUAGGGAAUCUUCCACAAUGGGCGCAAGCCUGAUGGAGCAACACCGCGUGAGUGGAGAAGGUUUCGGCUCGUAAAGCUCUGUUGUUAAAGAAGAACACGUAUGAGAGUAACUGUUCAUACGUUGACGGUAUUUAACCAGAAAGUCACGGCUAACUACGUGCCAGCAGCCGCGGUAAUACGUAGGUGGCAAGCGUUAUCCGGAUUUAUUGGGCGUAAAAGAGAGUGCAGGCGGUUUUCUAAGUCUGAUGUGAAAGCCUUCGGCUUAACCGGAGAAGUGCAUCGGAAACUGGAUAAACUUGAGUGCAGAAGAGGGUAGUGGAACUCCAUGUGUAGCGGUGG